UACGUAGGGGGGCAAGCGUUGUCCGGAAUCAUUGGGCGUAAAGCGCGUGUAGGCGGCUCGGUAAGUCCGCUCUGAAAGUCCAGGGCUCAACCCUGGGAUGCGGGUGGAUACUGCCGAGCUCGAGUCCGGAAGAGGCGAGUGGAAUUCCUGGUGUAGCGGUGAAAUGCGCAGAUAUCAGGAGGAACAUCAAUGGCGAAGGCAGCUCGCUGGGACGUGACUGACGCUGAGACGCGAAAGCGUGGGGAGCAAACAGG
rnacentral:rRNA from 1 species